AUGGGGGUAGACCUGCUUGAAUGGUACAAUUUGCCAUCAGAAAACGCUGUUUUGUCAGCAUCUUGUGGGAUGCUUGGACAACAUUUUGGGUGGACGAGUUCUGAAACGAUUUGUGACGGGAAGGGGGUGUUUUGUUCUGACUUGCUCGUUACGUUUCAUUUCUUUUUUUUUUUUUUCCGUUUAGUCUUUUAUAUUACCAUUGAUUGUAACGGUCUAUAUUUGGGAUCUGUGAGAUUUCACAUUGCAUCAGGCCCAGUUGUGUCAUCCACACUAGGACAUAGGACCACAAGAAUCACGCAUGGUCCGUCUACCUCAGGAUCCUGUCUCCACUGCUGGCCAGCACUAGCUGCUCCAAAGGAAGAUGCCAGAAACCUGCGGUAGGCAGCUGAGGGACAAUUCCCUCCUGCCCCUCUUAGUUAGAGGCUGGCAUAAGCCCUGCAGCUGGAGGGUUCAUCUCCCUUCCAAAGCCCUUGUUUAGUCUUUAAUAUUUACAAUUAUAGCUCUGAAUAUUCUUGAUAUCUGCUGGCAAUGAGUUCCGCAGGCCAAUCACGCAUCAGGUUCUGCUUUCCAGUACGGUGUUCAAGAGUACAGGAUCCAACAUGGCCCAUAGGGAGAGCCAACCUUACCAGAUGCAGGGAAGAGACAGGAAAUCCUUAUUUACCGCUCAUGACGGAGAGUCCGAAUAGCUGCCCCAUUCCACCCCAGAGGUGGCUGCAUGUAAGUAGUGGGUGAAAGGAUGCCUGUAUAGACUUAUGAAGUAGGCUCUGGAGCGCUUUGCAAGCCUUCCAGAUGAAAGGAUACAUGUUGACUUCAAUUGGAGUUAGGAGCCUAAAUACCUUUGAGGAUCUGGGCCCAGGAAUACAGCCCUAUCUAGCCAUUUGCAUGGGGUUGAGAGCCAGAAACUCCUAGGCUCAAAUCUCAGCUCUUCCAUUGACUCCCGCUGACUUAAUCUGGGUCAGUCACUCCCCUUCUCUGUGCCUCAGCUUCCUAAUCUGUAAAACGGGAAUAAUGACAAUGUAUUGACCUCCCAGGGGUGUUGAGAAUGAGGUAGCGUCACCAUGGGGCUGGCACCCUUAAGGGCUCGGGCUGUUCUAUCUUAUGGUGAAAGCCCAUCUCAACCCACCUGUCCGGAAUAACCGGCUGGUUGGCCACGAAUUGGCUAACAAGUACCUGGACAUGAUAAAAGGUUCCCAGAGCUCACUUGAAGGAGGGGGCUGUCAAAAAGAGGAGCCCCCCAGCCCAAGGAGGAUGGUUUCUGCUGCCUUUUCCCAGUGCAGGGCUGGAAAGAGUGAAUGAAUGGCACCACCCCAGGAGGAGGGGUGUGUGUGGAACUCAACUACAAGGAGGGUGGACCUGCCUGAAUUAUAGGAGAAGAGGACUGUCUGAAUUAGCCUGCAGGCUCCUAGGAGGAGGUGGACUUGAGGGGCUACAGAGAGUUAAUAAGCAAGCCCCUCCACGGGGGAAGUUUGGACUAAGCCCUCUGGUCUGGGAGUAAAUCAUCGCAGGGCCUGCAGGCCCCCUGGCUGUGUAUGCUGCGUCUAGCUAGCUGAGGGUUCUCGGGGUAUGUCUACCCUACAGCUAGGAGCAUGCAUCCCUGCCUGGGUAGACAGACAGGUGCUACCUCUGCUCAAGCGAGCAAGCUAAAACUAGCACUGAAUGUUGUGGCAUGCGCUAGCCCCCCACGUAGGGAGCCGGCGCGUUUGGAACCUGGGCUGUGAGGCAGGCACCCAGCCGCAAUGCGGACAUCCCCCUAGGUGCUGCUGCAAAACCUGUAGGGCUUUGGAGAUGCAAAUGCUGAGAAUCCCCCUAAAAGAAGCUGCCAUGAGGAAACCGAGAGGCGUGUGUCUGUUUUAGAAAUAACUUUUAUUGCACUAAAAAUGUAAAGUUGUUUGUAAACAAACAUUCCAUUAAAUUUUUUUUUCCCCACUCCAAAAAAAUGCGUCAUUUUCAAUCCAAACACAGCAAUAGAUCAAAGCAGGCACAGUAGAAAAGAGUGGGAGUGAGCGGUUACGAGAAACAAGCGCACCAUCCUCCCCACUUGCGACACGGCUCGAAACCCACACCAAGCACGAUGGAACAGCUUUCGCAGGGGGAGGGCAAUCUGCGAGGCGACAGGGCUUGCACGAGCAGGUGAUGGUGAGUUACUGGCAAAGAGGAAUAUCUGGGCUUUGUCUGCACUGAUCCCCCAGCAGGAUUGUCCCACAAUGCCCUGUGGUAGCCUGCAGUGACUUGUGGCGCUAUGAUCUGCGGGAUACGGGCUUAGGUAUCCCUGGAUCUCUCACAACUGCAUGCGUCAGGGCUGAAAGUGGUCUGAAAAAGGGGGAGAAGGAAUCUAUGUAAAUUGCAAGCUGCCGCCUUGGUCAGAGUUCUUAACGUGCCCCAGCUGGAUUUAAAAAACAAGUUUACUGCAUCCGUGACCCCUUGGGAUUUUCUCUCACCCCACACACUAAACACUGGCCAAGGGGCACGGCCGCCCAUAGGUGUGCAAAAGUCAGCCACUGUUCUGCAGCAUGGCUGCGUUCUAAAAAUAAAUAAAUAAAUAAAUAAUGGAGAUAGCCCA
ensembl:lncRNA